rnacentral:piRNA from 1 species
GUUCUUGUUAACUGAUGUGUGUC